rnacentral:rRNA from 1 species
AUGGGCAACCUUUUUCUAUAUGUUGCUCGUGAGCCGCCAAGUACCAGUCUCGCAACAGUACUGACGUUAAAGGAUCGGUCCUUCACUUGCGGAUCGUUCGCGAGUCGAACUCGCUCUCUUGCCACGCCUUUGACUCACGAACUCGAGUCGGACUCAUUCACUGCUGACUUUUUUGAGGAUCGUUCGUUCUUCACUCUCUUGCUAUUACCCGCAGGGAGCGCUACUACCGGAAAAGUGUCGCUAACCGCUAGGCAAUAG